UACGUAGGGUGCGAGCGUUGUCCGGAAUUAUUGGGCGUAAAGAGCUCGUAGGCGGUGUGUCGCGUCGGCCGUGAAAACCUGGGGCUUAACUCUGGGCGUGCGGUCGAUACGGGCAUCACUAGAGUUCGGCAGGGGAGUCUGGAAUUCCUGGUGUAGCGGUGAAAUGCGCAGAUAUCAGGAGGAACACCGGUGGCGAAGGCGGGUCUCUGGGCCGAUACUGACGCUGAGGAGCGAAAGCAUGGGUAGCGAACAGG
rnacentral:rRNA from 1 species